rnacentral:rRNA from 1 species
GACGAACGCUGGCGGCGUGCUUAACACAUGCAAGUCGAACGGUGAAGGGACCGGUUUUUGCUGGUUCUGGGUGGGUGGCGAACGGGUGAGUAACACGUGAGUAACCUGCCCCCUUCUUCUGGAGAACCGCAUGAAAGUGUGGCUAAUACGGGAUAUUCUGCGCCUGCUGCAUGGUGGGUGUGGGAAAGAUAUGGUUUCGGUGGGGGAUGGGCUCGCGGCCUAUCAGCUUGUUGGUGGGGUGAUGGCCUACCAAGGCGGUGACGGGUAGGCUGCCUGAGAGGGUGGACGGUACUACUGGGAAUGAGCGACGGACACGACUACGACGGGCGGCAGCAGGGGGGAAUAUUGAACAAUGGGCGGAAGCCUGAUGCCGCGACGCCGCGUGAGCGAUGGAGGCCGUCGGGUUGUAAGCCUCUUUCGGGAGUGAAGCAGGUCUGUCUAUUUUGUGGGUGGGUUGACGGUAGCUGGAUAAGAAGCGCCGGCUAACUACGUG